rnacentral:rRNA from 1 species
UGGGGAAUAUUGCACAAUGGGCGCAAGCCUGAUGCAGCCAUGCCGCGUGUGUGAAGAAGGCCUUCGGGUUGUAAAGCACUUUCAGCGAGGAGGAAGGUGGUGAGCUUAAUACGUUCAUCAAUUGACGUUACUCGCAGAAGAAGCACCGGCUAACUCCGUGCCAGCAGCCGCGGUAAUACGGAGGGUGCAAGCGUUAAUCGGAAUUACUGGGCGUAAAGCGCACGCAGGCGGUUUGUUAAGUCAGAUGUGAAAUCCCCGGGCUCAACCUGGGAACUGCAUUUGAAACUGGCAAGCUAGAGUCUCGUAGAGGGGGGUAGAAUUCCAGGUGUAGCGGUGAAAUGCGUAGAGAUCUGGAGGAAUACCGGUGGCGAAGGCGGCCCCCUGGACGAAGACUGACGCUCAGGUGCGAAAGCGUGGGGAGCAAACA